rnacentral:rRNA from 1 species
CACACGAGUUUGAUCCUGGCUCAGGAUGAACGCUAGCGGCAGGCUUAACACAUGCAAGUCGAGGGGCAGCGGGGUGUAGCAAUACAUCGCCGGCGACCGGCGCACGGGUGCGUAACACGUAUGGAAUCUGCCCUGUACUGGGGAAUAGCCCUCCGAAAGGAGGAUUAAUACCCCCGUAGUAGCUUGAGUGGCAUCACUCGGGUUUGAAAGCUCCGGCGGUACAGGAUGACCAUGCGCACGAUUAGCUAGUAGGUGAGGUAACGGCCCACCAAGGCUACGAUCGGUAGGGGACCUGAGAGGGGUAUCCCCCACACUGGUACUGAGACACGGACCAGACUCCUACGGGAGGCAGCAGUGAGGAAUAUUGGACAAUGGGCGCAAGCCUGAUCCAGCCAUGCCGCGUGCAGGAUGAAGGCCCUCUGGGUUGUAAACUGCUUUUCUACGGGAAUAAACCCCUUUACGUGUAAAGGGCUGAAGGUACCGUAGGAAUAAGCACCGGCUAACUCCGUG